rnacentral:rRNA from 1 species
CGUCUAUAUACGUAUAGCAUAUCAAUAAGCGGAGGAAAAGAAACUAACUAGGAUUCCCUCAGUAACGGCGAGUGAAGCGGGAAGAGCUCAAAUUUGAAAUCUUCAAGGUUCUACCUUGACGAAUUGUAGUUUAUAGAAGUGUUUUCUGUUAGUGGAGUGGCAAAAGUUCUUUGGAAUAGGACAUCAUAGAGGGUGAGAAUCCCGUAUUUGGUCAUUCCUCCUAGCGUUGUGAUACACUUUCAACGAGUCGGAUUGUUUGGGAAUGCAGUCCAAAAUGGGUGGUAAAUUUCAUCUAAAGCUAAAUAUUGGCGAGAGACCGAUAGCGAACAAGUACCGUGAGGGAAAGAUGAAAAGAACUUUGAAAAGAGAGUUAAACAGUACGUGAAAUUGUCAAAAGGGAAGCGUUUGACACCAGUGUUGUUUUUCCGAAAAUCAAUUACGAAUGGCUUGAUUUUGUGUUGUAUUGACCUUAUCAGCUUUCUGCACUUUUUUCGAGUCUUUCUUAAUGCACUUUUUGGUUAACAAGUCAACAUCAAUUUCUUUUGUUGUAAAAGAGUAUUCGGAAGGUGGCUUUCUUUUCGGAGAAAGUGUUUAUAGCCUUUGGCCUCUGCAAUCGGAGAGAUUGAGGUCUGCAGCGUAGAUCCUUCGGGGUUAGAUACAUUUGUGCUAAGUUAUAGCUUUUCAUAGACAACUUGUUGACUAUGUUUAGUCUUGUAGCUUACUCGCUGACGCUAUUUUACCUACGCUUAGGAUGUUGACUGAUAUGUAGUCGU